rnacentral:lncRNA from 1 species
CUUUCUUUCUUUCUUUCUUUCUUUCUUUCUUUCUUUNACCUGUUCCUGGGCUCUGAGGCAGGACUGGCUUGUCUGGUGCAUUUCCUGGGGUGGAGGGACAGCUCGGAGCUGCCGAUAGCUGGAGAUGACAUUGUUCUUUCUUAGCCAGUCUACCAGCCUGUCCUUUAACUCUUUUCUACAUUUUCCUUAGUGUCCUUCAGACUUGGUUCAGGGUGAACAGUCCAUUUGCUGACCUCGGUUUGUUCUGUUGACUCUUGGGGGUUGGGACUGGAACCCAGUAGAGUGACUGUCAGACUGAUCCAUGAGAAGGCUGGCAUAGCUUGGUCUGAAGCAGCGCUUCAUAGAGACUGCUGGGCUUGAGAGCUCUGUGGAGGCUCUGGGGUGGGCCUCUUGUUAGCCACAAGUCUGUUUCUCCUCCAGAGUCCAUGUAUCUGUCAGCUAAAGGGGCCCUUCCUGCCAGAGAACUGAAAAGCUCCAUCAUUGGCAAGAAGAAGCCAGCAGCAGCUAAGAAAGGGCUGGGUGCCAAGAAAGGCCUUGGGGCCCAGAAGGUGAGCAGCCAGAGCUUCAGUGAGAUUGAGCGGCAGGCCCAGGUAGCAGAGAAGCUCCGUGAGCAGCAGGCAGCCGAUGCCAAGAAGCAGGCGGAGGAGUCCAUGGUCGCCUCCAUGCGUCUGGCCUACCAGGAGCUCCAGAUUGAUCGUAAGAAAGAGGAGAAGAAGCUACAGAAUCUGGAAGGGAAGAAGCGAGAGCAGGCAGAGAGGUUGGGCAUGGGCUUGGUAUCCCGAAGGUGAGGCUCAGCUCCCGCUGUGGCAGGGAGAUGCCAUUGUUUCCUGGGAACCAUUGCGGGGCCUUCCCAGCAGUUUGGGAUUCUAGGCUUAUUGUGUCUUCAAGUCUGAAUAGAUCGCUUGGCUUAUUGUCCCUAAUACAGUGCUUGGCAUAGUAGGUAUGUGCUCAGUGAGUUGAAUGAGUGAAUAGCUGUAUGAAUGAAACACAGGAUCAGGUGUUAUUUCAGUAUCUUCAAGAGACCAGGGUGGUUUUUCUUGAUGGCACUUUGAGUCAUGGGACAGUUUAUUUUUCCAGACCUCCCUGAGAAUUGAGGUGCAUUUAGUAUCAUCCUUAAUUCCUUAAUCCCUGUCUAGAGAUGCCAUUUGUGUUCCCUGUAAUACCCUAAAGUAUCCACCCACAUUUCAGAUGCCCUCAGUUUGGGCAGAAAAUCCUGUUUCAGAACCACUGGGUUUGCUAUGGUU